AUCUUUGCACGCGCAAUAGGUUCAUUAACAUUACAUGAUUAAAAAGGGAAAGCGGUGAGAUUCCGCUACUGUCCCGCAGCUGUAAGUUGUCUCUCAUUGGUAAGCUGAUACCACUGGUGAAUAUAAAACCGGGAAGGUGCUUACCUACAUUGGAUAACAAGUCAGAAGACCUGCCAUUGCAAGUCAUUGCAU
rnacentral:ncRNA from 2 species